ensembl:lncRNA
CUUUCCCUCGCCCAUCUUUUUCUCUCAUCCUCCUCUCCUCCCAAGAAUCUGUAGAACAGCAACUGUUUAUUUUCUUUCUCUUUUUUUCUAUCGCUCUCUCCUUCUUUCCCUCUGGGGUGUUUUUGUUGUUAAAAACAAAUCUGUUUUUCGGAGUGAAAUACCAUCUGUACUGAAAUGGGCAGAUAAAUGCUUAAUUAUAGCUAAAUGGGUUCAUUCAUUAAGUGGGCUUCUCUAUCCCUUGGCGGACUUCAGGUGUGAAAAGAAACCUCUCUCCCUGUGGAGUCUAUCAUCUGUGUCUGUGUUCCAGACAGCUGUGCAGUAGAGUAGGAUGUGUUUUAAACUGCCCUGUCUCUGCUGUUCCAGAUGAGAUUACAGUCCUGUCUCUGACGCCUUUGUUCUGAAUUAUGUCCCAGUGUAAUCUAUAAUUCCUGUAAUCUGACCAACAGUUAACACUGCAAUCUGAGAUGAGAUGAAGUGGAGGUGUUAGUGCUGGUGCUAGUCCUUGAUGGAGGUGCCGGUGCUAGUCAUUGAUGGAGGUGGUGGUGCCGGUGCUAGUCCUUGAUGGAGGUGUUAGUGCCGGGGAUAGUCCUUGAUGGAGGUGUUAGUGCCGGGGCUAGUCCUUGAUGGAGGUGGUGGUGCCGGGGAUAGUCCUUGAUGGAGGUGUUAGUGCCGGGGCUAGUCCUUGAUGGAGGUGGUGGUGCCGGGGCUAGUCCUUGAUGGAGGUGUUAGUGCCGGGGCUAGUCCUUGAUGGAGGUGGUGGUGCCGGGGCUAGUCCUUGAUGGAGGUGUUAGUGCCGGGGCUAGUCCUUGAUGGAGUUGGUGGUGCCGGUGCUAGUCCUUGAUGGAGGUGGUGGUGCUGGGGCUAGUCAUUGAUGGAGGUGCCGGUGCUAGUCCUUGAUGGAGGUGUUAGUGCCAGUGCUAGUCCUUGAUGGAGGUGUUAGUGCCGGGGAUAGUCCUUGAUGGAGGUGUUAGUGCCGGGGCUAGUCCUUGAUGGAGGUGGUGGUGCCCGGGCUAGUCCUUGAUGGAGGUGCUAGUGCCGGGGAUAGUCCUUGAUGGAGGUGUUAGUGCCGGGGCUAGUCCUUGAUGGAGGUGUUAGUGCCGGGGAUAGUCCUUGAUGGAGGUGUUAGUGCCGGGGAUAGUCCUUGAUGGAGGUGUUAGUGCCGGGGAUAGUCCUUGAUGGAGAUGUUAGUGCCGGGGCUAGUCCUUGAUGGAGGUGGUUGUGCUGGGGCUAGUCCUUGAUGGAGAUGGUGGUGCCGGUGCUAGUCCUUGAUGGAGGUGAUGGUGCCGGUGCUAGUCCUUGAUGGAGGCGGUGGUGCCGGUGCUAGUCCUUGAUGGAGGUGUUAGUGCUGGUACUAGUCCUUGAUGGAGGUGCCGGUGCUAGUCCUUGAUGGAGGUGUUAGUGCCAGUUCUAGUCCUUGAUGGAGGUGUUAGUGCCGGGGCUAGUCCUUGAUGGAUGUGGUGGUGCCGGUGCUAGUCCUUGAUGGAUGUGGUGGUGCCGGGGCUAGUCCUUGAUAGAGGUGGUGGUGCCGGUGCUAGUCCUUGAUGGAGGUGCCGUUGCUAGUCCUUGAUGGAGGUGUUAGUGCCAGGGCUAGUCCUUGAUGGAGGUGGUGGUGCCUGUGCUAGUCCUUGAUGGAGGUGUUAGUGCUGGUGCUAGUCCUUGAUGGAGGUGCCGGUACUAGUCCUUGAUGGAGGUGCCGGUGCUAGUCCUUGAUGGAGGUGAUGGUGCCGGUGCUAGUCCUUGAUGGCGACGGUGGUGCCGGUGCUAGUCCUUGAUGGAGGUGUUAGUGCCUUGCUGGUGGUGGUGGUGAUUGUCCUUGCUGGAGGUGGUGGUGCAAGUCCUUGAUGGAGGUGGUGGUGCAAGUCCUUGAUGGAGGUGGUGGUGCCGGUGUCGUUCCUUGCUGGAACUGCUGUACACGUUCUCAACACAACCACUUUGAGUUUCGUCUCCUGUCCCAGGCAAUGUGGACUUCAUAUUGAUUAAUAAUACACUAAGGUGUCACAGUAAAAGUCCUCCUCCCCAGCUUGACAGAGAGUGAGGAGGAAACAAGG